rnacentral:tRNA from 1 species
AAGAAUUUAGUUAAGUUAUAACAUUAGUUUGUCAUACUAAAAUAAUUAAUUUUUAUUAGUAAUUCUUA